AUACGUAGGUGGCAAGCGUUGUCCGGAAUUACUGGGCGUAAAGGGUGCGUAGGUGGCACUUUAAGUUGGAUGUGAAAUCCCCGUGCUUAACAUGGGAGCUGCGUCCAAUACUGGAGAGCUAGAGUGCAGGAGAGGUAAGCGGAAUUCCUAGUGUAGCGGUGAAAUGCGUAGAUAUUAGGAGGAACACCAGUGGCGAAGGCGGCUUACUGGACUGUAACUGACGCUGAGGCACGAAAGCGUGGGGAGCAAACAGGAUUAGAUACCCUGGUAGUCCACGCUGUAAACGAUGGAUACUAGGUGUGGGGGAGAUACAACCUCCGUGCCGCAGCAAACGCAAUAAGUAUCCCGCCUGGGGAGUACGGUCGCAAGGCUGAAACUCAAAUGAAUUGACGGGG
rnacentral:rRNA from 1 species